GACAGAGGGUGCAAACGUUGUUCGGAAUUACUGGGCGUAAAGCGCGUGUAGGCGGCUUUGCAAGUCGGAUGUGAAGUCCCACGGCUCAACCGUGGAAGUGCAUUCGAAACUGCAAGGCUAGAGUCCUGGAGAGGAAGGUGGAAUGCUUGGUGUAGAGGUGAAAUUCGUAGAUAUCAAGCGGAACACCGGUGGCGAAGGCGGCCUUCUGGACAGUGACUGACGCUGAGACGCGAAAGCGUGGGGAGCAAACAGG
rnacentral:rRNA from 1 species